rnacentral:lncRNA from 1 species
CCACAAGCGUGUUCUCAGGAGUGCUCAGCCCCAGGAAGCACUGUCCAGGGCAUCUCCCGCAGGGGACACGGGCCCUUGGAGCGAGCCCCAGCCUCUGGAAGCUCACGGGAAGUCGAUCUAGUGGCAUCCUCCAUUUUGCUGACCUGUCCUUCCACCUCUCUUCCCCCAUGCUGUCCUCGGCCGGGGGCACAGGCUCUGGACAGCAGCCUGGGGUGUGUGCUGGCCAUGCACUGAUGGCCGAGCUCCCUGCAGGCCUUUGGCCGGCCGGUGGCCCUUGGGACAGGCCCGCUUGGGCUCGCUCUGGCUGUCCCGGGUGCUGACGGUAGGUAAAGAGAGCAGACACGUUGGGCGGGGCAGGACGGGUCACAUUUAUUGUCACAGGCCCUUCAGGAGAGCUCGGCAGAGCGCUGUGUGCGAGGUGCUGUCACACUUUCGGGACUCUGAGUAGCCUGGCGAGGCCCAGCCCUUCUAAGAGGCUCCACAGCUCAGCCUGAUCUUGUGCCAGCGUGUUGCCCGCCAGCCGGCGGAUGAGGUCAUUGUCCUUCAAGACCUGGCGAGCCCAUCCCUAAAGCCAGGCCUUCAUGACGGGGCGCCGAGAGCCAGACGAGUGAGUGGCCAGGGAGCCCGCUCCGUGCAACUUGGCUCCUUCCGAAAGGAACACUUGGCAGGUCCGUGCUGGGAGCCGUCCUGCCCGGCCUCCCCCUCACCCCGGCCCACCCCCGCCCCAGUGUUGGCACCCAGUGGGCAGCAGCUUGAGGGGCCCCUGACUGUCAUGGCUGCGGGGGGCCAGGGCCCUGGAGGCACCUGCCUGUUUUCCUGGAAAAGAAACCAAAACAGACAUCCUCUCCGGGAGAAGACACAAGAACAAGGUGGUUUUGCCCUGGGAGCUUUGCUGUGUGCUGUCCUCAUUAGCUCUGUGGUCUCCCUCUCUGGGCCUCGAUUUCCCCAUCUGUCAAGUAAGUGGCAGGACUGGCCCCCACCCAGUUCAGGGACGGGAGCCUCUGGUCCUCCAGGGUGCAGAUGCCAGCGCAGGUCACCCUUCCUCUUCUUCUCUCCAACCACUGUUUGGGGUCCCCUCCUCUUGAAGCCCUCUGCCCGUGAGGACCCAGCUCCGUAUCCAUCCACUCACCCCGCUGCGCUGGCCAGCCCUCCCAGCCUGUGCGCCCACACCCAAGCUCAAGUCAGCCCCAUUCCUUCUCACUGGUCCCCCGGCCAUCCUCUGGGGUAGGCACACAGGGGGCAUUUGGGAGGGGCCUGCUCCAUGAUGGGGCUGACCCCUCUCUACCCACUGGUGCCAAGUAAAUGUGCACCUGGCCUACGGCUGGUCAGCCCGAUGGGGCGGCUGCCCUUUAUGCUGGGCAGGGGAACCUUCCCGAAGCCGCCUGCCCACUGGGCUCCAGGGAGGAGUGUGGGCUCUGCUGCUGGAGCCCCAGCCCGUGCUUCCCAGGACAGCACCCCCAUCAGGAGAGGUCAGGGCCCCCAUCAGCCGGCAGCCACCUGGGGAUAGGAAGGCAGUCUCCCAGAAGCAAGGGGUCAGGGCAUCAGAGUGGGGAGGGAAGACAGG